GAAGCAACUCUAGGUGAAAGAUG
rnacentral:piRNA from 1 species